rnacentral:rRNA from 1 species
CACGUAGGGGGCGAGCGUUGUCCGGAUUUAUUGGGCGUAAAGAGCUCGUAGGCGGCUCAGUAAGUCGGGUGUGAAAACUCCAGGCUCAACCUGGAGACGCCACCCGAUACUGCUGUGGCUAGAGUCCGGUAGGGGAGCAUGGAAUUCCCGGUGUAGCGGUGAAAUGCGCAGAUAUCUGGAGGAACACCGGUGGCGAAGGCGGCAUCCUGGACCGGCAUUGACGCUGAGGCGCGAAAGCCAGGGGAGCAAACGGG